GUGUUAAAAGUUUUAGAAGUCUGUUCUAAGCUCUAACAAACUAUUUCUGCAUCAGCUGUUUGUGAUAUAGGGUCUGCUUCAUUUAAGUACGAUAUGCGCCGACUCAGUGAAAUCCUUGCAUUUCCAAGAGCCUGGUAUAGGAGAAGUAUUGCAAGGCGCCUGUUCCUUGGAGACCAAACUGUAAACUUGCCAAGUAAGUGUGUUAUGUAACCAUAAUUAGAUUUCUUUUCAUUUGGGUUAAAGAAAACAAGAUCCAUGAUUAGUAAUCUAUACCAUGUGAUUCAUUCAUUUGUUCAAAAGAAUGUCUGUUGAGUCCCUCUAAUGGCAAGCACUCAGCAUACCAAACAGACAAAUACCUUACCCUCUUGAAGAUUACCUACUAACAUUUUAUUCUAUAAUAAUUUACUCGAUAACCCUUGUAAAUAUGGAGGUGCAAGUAUCUAUGGUUAAUUAAUAGUUAAUUAAAGCAUGGAAAAAUGAAAAUACUGAAGACAUCGUACUGUUUUUGCCUCCAUCUCUUGAUCUUAGAUACUGUUAUGACAAGCUGAAGAGGUUGUGGAUAGGAAUAGUACAGUUGAUACAGUGGAAAAUGUAAAAAAUCUUGAGUGGGUUUGUUCUCUCUCCAGUAAUGUACUUUCUGCCAGGAUUAAAUAAGAUGCUGGAUUGUUCUUUGCAAAUACUGCCAUUUGUGAAAGGAAUAGACAAUGUAGUUAGAAAUAGUGUCUGGGUGAAAGAACUUUUAUCACUUAAUGUUCUUAUCUGUGACUUUUACUUUGUCUUCUACUGUUGUACUAGCAUCUGGUCCAGGGACUCCUGAUUCCAUUGAAGGAGUGAGCCAGCACCUUUCUCCCGAAUCAUCAAGGAAAGCAUACUGCAGGACCUGGGAUCAGCCAAGCCAGUCAGCCUCCUUCACCCAUAUGCCGCAGUCACCCAAUGUGUUCAAUGAGCACAUGACCAACAAUACCAUGUCACCAGGGACAGCAGCACAGAGCCUCAAGUCCCCAGCUUCCAUAAGAUCAAGGAGUGUUUCAGACUCUUCAGUCCCUCGAAGAGGUAACUUUUGUUGGCCAGUAUGCCUCCAGUGUUCCUAAGAUAAAAAUCUUACUCAGGUUUCUCCCCAAUUACUAGAGAUGGAUUCUUGAGGAAAAGAAACCAGUAAGUACCAAACACUUCCAGGUACUACCUACAGAAGAGCUCUGUGGCUGUCUAGUAACUUCACAAAGGGUAGGAAGUGAAGAGUUGCCAUAUUGUCAAUGUACUCUGUAAGAAUAGCUGCUUUUAGAAACAUUCUAACAAUGUUGUGAAUGUACCAAAAGAUGGUUCAGUAUUGAAGAAACAAAGUCUUUAUAUUGAUUCAAUUGUUUGUUUAUUUAGUCUUUUUUUUCCACCUCUUGCAUGCUAGUGUUGUCCUUGUGCUAAUGCCUGGAUAUAUCAAAAUGAAUGAUAUAGUUCUUGGCACAACCAAGACCAAAGUACAAUGAGCAAGGUCAGUACUUGGUCUGCUCAGAGUCCAUUAGAUGAAUGCCAGCCACCCAGCCAAUGCCUGCAUUUCUGAAUGGUUUCUGUCUUUGAGGCUUCUGUUUGACUGAAACAUUUUGGCUUUUGGCUUUUAUGAAGAAAAUCCUGGAGUGAUGAAUUAUCUGUGCAUCUGUAUCUCAUGUGCACCAAAGCCCCCUCAUCUCACCUGUUUUAGAAGCAAUGUGAUUAUUAAACAUUUGGUCUCAUACAACAAUAUCAUGUCUACCUUUAGAUUAUAGAAACUAGUGGGUUUUACUUUGUAAUAAGCUCUGUUUUAAGUGAAUAAAUGUGCAUUUGGUUUUUUUUUUCUGACUUUAGAUUCAAUUUCAAAAACAUCAACUCCUGUUAACAAAUCAAACAAAGCAGCAAGCCAGCAAGGGACUCCGUGGGAGACACUUGUUGUGUUCGCUAUCAACCUUAAACAAUUAAACGUCCAAAUGAAUAUGAGCAAUGUCAUGGGAAAUACAACGUAAGCUAUUCAGAGAAAAAUAUGUCUUAUCUAAUAGCACUUUAAAUGUUCCUUGCAGUGUUGUAAAGCAGUUCAAACCCUUUUAAAUGCAGUAAUAUUUUGAGACAGUUAAAUAGGUGAAAAGUUUUAAACUUUUUAAUCUAAAAAUGGAUUAAUUGUUUGGACACUAUAAUACAAACAACAUGAAAUACAUUCCCAAUGGAGAAUUAUCAGAAAAUAGGAUACUUUUCUAGCUAUAAAGCUUCAUUAGUUUUAAUAUUCAAACAUCAACCACAUAGUAUUUAGUUCAGCUAUGUUGAGCUGGGUGUGUCGGGUGCAUGCCAAUCAUCCCAGCACUCAAAAAGCUGAGAUAGGGUCAUUUCAGUUCCAUUAUUCAAGACCAGCUUCAACAACACAGUGAAAACCUGAC
rnacentral:lncRNA from 1 species